AUCCAGUUGACGAGACUCAGAUAGGACGAAACGUGUGUCCUGGAU
rfam:Schistosoma curassoni strain Dakar, Senegal genome assembly, scaffold: SCTD_scaffold0003274